GGCCCGAUAGCUCAGUUGGAUAGAGCAGGAGACUUCUAAGCUCAAGGUCGCUGGUUCGAAUCCAGCUCGGGCCA
rnacentral:tRNA from 1 species